rnacentral:rRNA from 1 species
CCUACGGGAGGCAGCAGUGAGGAAUAUUGGUCAAUGGACGCAAGUCUGAACCAGCCAUGCCGCGUGCAGGAAGACGGCUCUAUGAGUUGUAAACUGCUUUUGUACGAGGGUAAACGCAGAUACGCGUAUCUGUCUGAAAGUAUCGUACGAAUAAGGAUCGGCUAACUCCGUGCCAGCAGCCGCGGUAAUACGGAGGAUUCAAGCGUUAUCCGGAUUUAUUGGGUUUAAAGGGUGCGUAGGCGGUCGGAUAAGUUAGAGGUGAAAUCCCGAGGCUCAACUUCGGAAUUGCCUCUGAUACUGGUCAGCUAGAGAGUAGUUGCGGUAGGCGGAAUGUAUGGUGUAGCGGUGAAAUGCUUAGAGAUCAUACAGAACUCCGAUUGCGAAGGCAGCGUACCGGCGCCCAACUGACGCUGAAGCACGAAGGCGUGGGUAUCGAACAGGAUUAGAUACCCUAGUAGUC